rnacentral:misc_RNA from 1 species
CAAAUAUCAUUUAUCAGCCUCUUAUCUUCUAGUUCCACACCAUCAUGUACUAGUUCCUGUUCCCUAAGAUCACGAAAGUCUCUUCCCUUCUUUGCAAUCUGCUCUUUAACAUAACCAACAUUUCUAUUUCUAUCGACAUGGAACUCAAACUCCUGACCACACACUGUCCUAACAGUAAUUGCUUGUAUAUCAGACAGACGAAGAACCAAAUGCAACAUGUUACCAUCAGCAACCCCAUAGUCCCCUACACGGGAAUUGUUCCGAGCCAACUCCUUUCCAUCAAAGACAAGCUUCUGCUUCUUCACAAAGAAACCUUUGAAUGUUUGGAUUUUAGAUUUCACAUAGGCAAUAGAAUCGGACUCCUUAACACGCAAGGGAAUUACAGACCCACCCACGGUCAAAAAAAUCAAGAUUGAAUCAUUGGACCGGAACCGGUAUUGGCCUGCCAAACAGCUUGCUAAGUUCAAAUGAUCUUCAUAGACUGGACUAAGCGCAACAGUAGCAAUAGACAUUGUUCUCUAAAGGUAAGGACUUCUUUCCCAGAAAGCGAAGAGAAAUCAAAGCAGCACUUGAAUCUUUUCGCAUACAACAAUAAUCACUGUGAAUUUGCCCUCAUUAGGUUUGCUUCAG